rnacentral:rRNA from 1 species
GGGAUUGCCCCAGUAACGGCGAGUGAAGCGGCAACAGCUCGAAUUUGAAAUCUGGCCCCCCGCGGGCCCGAGUUGUAAUUUGCAGAGGAUGCUUUGGCGCGGCGCCUUCCGAGUGCCUGGAACGGGACGCCAUAGAGGGUGAGAGCCCCGUCUGGUCGGACGCCCAGCCUCUGUAAAGCUCCUUCGACGAGUCGAGUAGUUUGGGAAUGCUGCUCUAAACGGGAGGUAUAUGUCUUCUAAAGCUAAAUACCGGCCAGAGACCGAUAGCGCACAAGUAGAGUGAUCGAAAGAUGAAAAGCACUUUGAAAAGAGGGUUAAACAGCACGUGAAAUUGUUGAAAGGGAAGCGCUUGUGACCAGACUCGGGCGCGGCGAAUCACCCGGCGUUCUCGCCGGUGCACUUCGACGCGCCCGGGCCAGCAUCAGCUCGCCGCGGGGGACAAAGGCGCCGGGAACGUGGCUCCCCAGGGAGUGUUAUAGCCCGGCGCGCAACGCCCCGCGGCGGUCUGAGGUUCGCGCGUCCGCAAGGAUGCUGGCGUAAUGGUCACCAGUGACCCGUCUUGAAACACGGACCAAGGAGUCGUCCUCGUAUGCGAGUGUUCGGGUGUCAAACCCCUACGCGCAAUGAAAGUGAACGCGGGUGAGAGCCUCGCGGCGCAUCAUCGACCGAUCCUGAUGUUCUCGGAUGGAUUUGAGUAGGAGCAUACGGGGCCGGACCCGAAAGAAGGUGAACUAUGCCUGUGUAGGGUGAAGCCAGAGGAAACUCUGGUGGAGGCUCGCAGCGGUUCUGACGUGCAAAUCGAUCGUCAAACAUGGGCAUGGGG